rnacentral:rRNA from 1 species
GAUGAACGCUGGCGGCGUGCCUAAUACAUGCAAGUCGAGCGAACAGACGAGGAGCUUGCUCCUCUGACGUUAGCGGCGGACGGGUGAGUAACACGUGGAUAACCUACCUAUAAGACUGGGAUAACUUCGGGAAACCGGAGCUAAUACCGGAUAAUAUAUUGAACCGCAUGGUUCAAUAGUGAAAGACGGUUUUGCUGUCACUUAUAGAUGGAUCCGCGCCGCAUUAGCUAGUUGGUAAGGUAACGGCUUACCAAGGCAACGAUGCGUAGCCGACCUGAGAGGGUGAUCGGCCACACUGGAACUGAGACACGGUCCAGACUCCUGCGGGAGGCAGCAGUAGGGAAUCUUCCGCAAUGGGCGAAAGCUUGACGGAACAACGCCGCGUGAGUGAUGAAGGUCUUCGGAUCGUAAAACUCUGUUAUUAGGGAAGAACAAAUGUGUAAGUAACUAUGCACGUCUUGACGGUACCUAAUCAGAAAGCCACGGCUAACUACGUG